UAUCGUCUCGUCUAUUUUAAAUUAUAUUGCCAUUUCUUACAAAUAAUUUAUAAAUAAAUAAAUAAAUAGGAGAUCUAGUAAAUAUUUUUUCUAUUAUUAUAGUUUAUCUAUAAUUAUCGGUAUUUUUAAAGAAAACGUAAGAAUAGGAAACUGGGUGCUUGUCGAAGCGACAGUCCUGCUGUCGGGAGCAACGCGCCCUAUUACAUUCAAAGCUAAAAUUAUUACCCAUAUUUUAAGUGCGAAGUUGAGUUUGUUAGUGUCCUCCUUUGAAGCAUAUGUUUGGGACCUAUCAACAUUUUGCAAAAAGAUAGUUUACAGGCCGAAAACAAGAAACGAAUGAUGUACUUAUAAAUAACAAAUGAAACUUAAAAAUUAUAAAAUUACAAAUUUAUGAUAACCAGCAUCAGUACGGUAUAAAAAUUUCUUUUAAAAAAUAUCCGCGUCGUGGCAUGCCCGGAUCCUGUGGAACUGCCGAAGCGACCCACUAAAUGUCUAUUCUGCACUUUUCGCCCAAAUGAUCAAAUUACGCUCGAAAUGCUGGGGGGCGACUGCGGUCUGCACUGCGAUCAGUCACGUGGCCACCAAGAGGAUGUUCGGCCGACGAAAAACAUCGACGAAAACGAUUUCGUCGGCCAACUCGGAUGACAGCUUAUCAAGAAGGCCAGGCCUUGCCACUGUGGUUCCGGAAUACCUCCCAGAACCAGAACCAGUCUGCUAGGUGCUCGCGAUGUACCGCCAACCGAUCACUCUUUAGCAUCAACUCUGCAACGCCCUAGAGGGCGUUAGCUCAUCUCUUAGGCUCCAACGCCUACUUCUGUGAGAGGUAAACUCGCAGAAGUGGCGAUUUCCAGGAUUAUUCGCUGCCAUGUGCCGUAUCUAAGAAUUUGGACAGCGACGAGUCCGGUCCUAUUUGAGCAACGAGAAUACUAUGUCGCUUCUUCCGAGCGAUGUAAGCUGCGAACUUGUGCUCCGCCGUGUUCACAUUGGUGUACAGCAAUACACCUAGAUUGUGAGAAGGCAUUAUGAUUGUACGAUAAAUCCGAAAUAACAUAGAAUAGGUAUGUAGGAGUGAUAUACAAACCUUAAAAUAACAUCGGGCUUUUCCGGUAAAAUACAACUGGUGUCAACCUUGAAACCACAAUGGAAAAUACGAUUUUCGGAUUUGUGAACACCGUUUGGUUGGUAGCAUGAGAUCACACAAUGACACAGAGCUCGUACAGUAAGUAGUAGCACUUGCACUUUUAAUGGUUGACUGAUCGAAUCAAUGACACCUUUUCUCAAUUAUAAAUUCAAUUUUUUUUUAAAUCACUUUUUCAAUUAGUAGCAUAAAAAUAAUUUUAAAUACUGCACUGCUAUAAAUUUGUUCACAAAAUAACAUUAAUAUCUUUCAUUGUUUAAGUUUAUAUCUUUAAUUUAAUUGUAGACAAAGCGUGGGAAGCAGCAAGUGGUAACAUAACCACAUACUAACAACUCGGACGCCUGUUAUGCAUCGACUGACAUUCAGAGACACGAACAUUUACGAAUAGAAUACGAGCACUCUAAACUAUGAGCUAAUGAUAUCGCGAUCACAGCAUCGCAAGCAUACAAUUUUUGAAAUUCAGCAAAACUUGCUUUAGUUUUCUUUUAUCAAAUACAUUAUAUACAAGAGCUUGUGUUAUCAAAAAUACAUAAUCAUUUCUAAACGAAUCUCUGUAUCCAACAAUAAUUUAUGCAUCUCGUAAGAAACACAAGUUACUUAACGUUGAAAAAUAAAACCAUGUCAUAAUUUUAUGAAUGGGCCUAAAUUAUAGGUUUUGCAAUUUUCACGUUCAAUAGCCUUACAACAUACUGAAUCGUUGUUUUUAACGACAUUGAAUCGACUUUUCUAAUUUAUCUUAUCUAUUUUUGUUUUAUUAACGAAAAAAACGUUUAAAUAAACUGUAUUGAAGAAGCAUUUCACUAAGUACGAACCGCUGAGGUAAUGCGCUCUCCAAAAAUUAUUUUUUUAUAUAUAAAUAUAUGUUAUACAUAAGCUGUUUUUACUAUAAUUUUUUUAUAUUUUUAUGAAAUGAUGCCCUGGACCUUUACAAAAUUUAUGUAGGAUACAGUUACAGAUACAGACGACAUUUCUUUAAGGAAAUCCGAUCAACAAUAAGGAACCAUAAAAAAUGUAUUUUUUGUAUAUUUCGUUCAUAAUUUUUGUAAGUUAAUUAAAAUUUCAGCAAAA